GCUGCCACACACACAGGUGGAAUGAAAAGUCGUCUGUAAAUCAAGUUUCCAUCCAAAUGGGGCACAAAUUUUAACUGAAUUACUUAAAAAAUCUGCUAAAGAAGUAUCGUGUUUACGUCCACGGUGCUUCUUCUCCAGUCAGUGCCAUUAAAUCAAUCCAGAUGUUGUUCAGCCGUCUGUUAGAGCGUACUGAUGCGUCUUUUCUUUGACGGACUUUUGCGUUCUACACUUGACUUGGACUUUAUUUCUAAGUAUUUUGUUUAAC